ACUCUCUUAGUAUAAUAACAGUACAGCUGACUUCCAAUCAGCAAG
rnacentral:tRNA from 1 species